UUAUCUCUGUUCCCGUUUCCUCCCUCUCGUGCUCCAAAACCCCGCAAUAGGAAAAUCAACAGAGAAAGGAGAGCGAAGGAGCUGCAGGUAGCUGCUUUCUUAGCAAGCUCACCCUUAUUCUGCAGUGCUUAGAUAAGGGAGCAGCGAGGAGGUUACUAAAUUUCUCAGUUGCUGACAAAAUGAGUGACAAAGUGAAAAUCGCGGUAGCUUCCGCUCACGUUUUAGGUGCUGCAGUAAAGGGCCUCAGCGUCACAGUACCGGUAGCUGUUUUUCCGUGUGUGUGCGCUGCCGUUGUGGUGAUCACUAUUGCCUAUGUCGCUGAAAGGGUCAUCAAUAAACCCAAUAACGCAUGAGCAUGAAAGAACGAAGCUGAACCCGAGCGAGUUGCUCCUCGUCACGUUGCGCUGUUUCCUGCUGCCAAGUUGCCCCGGGUGUGUCUUUGCGCAAGGAAACUAAGCACAAAUAAAUCAUUCACUUGGA